rnacentral:rRNA from 1 species
UGACGAAGGGGGCUAGCGUUGCUCGGAAUCACUGGGCGUAAAGGGUGCGUAGGCGGGUCUUUUAAGUCAGGGGUGAAAUCCUGGAGCUCAACUCCAGAACUGCCUUUGAUACUGAAGAUCUUGAGUUCGGGAGAGGUGAGUGGAACUGCGAGUGUAGAGGUGAAAUUCGUAGAUAUUCGCAAGAACACCAGUGGCGAAGGCGGCUCACUGGCCCGAUACUGACGCUGAGGCACGAAAAGCGUGGGGAGCAAACAGGG